GGGGAAUAUUGGACAAUGGGGGCAACCCUGAUCCAGCAAUGCCGCGUGUGUGAAGAAGGUCUUCGGAUUGUAAAGCACUUUCGACGGGGACGAUGAUGACGGUACCCGUAGAAGAAGCCCCGGCUAACUUCGUGCCAGCAGCCGCGGUAAUACGAAGGGGGCUAGCGUUGCUCGGAAUGACUGGGCGUAAAGGGCGUGUAGGCGGUUUACACAGUCAGAUGUGAAAUCCCCGGGCUUAACCUGGGAGCUGCAUUUGAUACGUGUAGACUAGAGUGUGAGAGAGGGUUGUGGAAUUCCCAGUGUAGAGGUGAAAUUCGUAGAUAUUGGGAAGAACACCGGUGGCGAAGGCGGCAACCUGGCUCAUGACUGACGCUGAGGCGCGAAAGCGUGGGGAGCAAACAGGAUUAGAUACCCUGGUAGUCCACGCUGUAAAACGAUGUGUGCUAGAUGUUGGGUAACUUUGUUAUUCAGUGUCGCAGUUAACGCGUUAAGCACACC
rnacentral:rRNA from 1 species